rnacentral:sRNA from 1 species
GAGCAUCGUAGUCACGACGGUCGGAAGC